GAUGAACGCUGGCGGCGUGCCUAAUACAUGCAAGUCGAGCGAACGGACGAGAAGCUUUCUCUUCUGAUGUUAGCGGCGGACGGGUGAGUAACACGUGGAUAACCUACCUAUAAGACUGGGAUAACUUCGUGAAACCGGAGCUACUACCGGAUAAUAUUUUGAACCGCAUGGUUCAAAAGUGAAAGACGGUUUUGCUGUCACUUUUAGAUGGAUCCGCGCUGCAUUAGCUAGUUGGUAAGGUAACGGCUUACCAAGGCAACGAUGCUUAGCCGACCUGAGAGGGUGAUCGGCCACACUGGAACUGAGACACGGUCCAGACUCCUACGGGAGGCAGCAGUAGGGAAUAUUCAGCAAUGGGCGAAAGCCUGACGGAGCAACGCCGCGUGAGUGAUGAAGGUCUUCGGAUCGUAAAACUCUGUUAUUAGGGAAGAAAAGAUGUGGAAGUAACUGUGCACGUCUUGACGGUACCUAAUCAGAAAGCAACGGCUAACUACGUG
rnacentral:rRNA from 1 species